UGACGACACAGUCCGGAAGAGUUUGUCAGUAAUGCUCGCAGUGGGUCUUUUGGUGGUUUGCUGUUGACGCACCUUGAGACUCCGUUUUCCACAAUGUCCGCAAGAAACCCGGGAACUGAGCUUGAUCUGGAGUGGGUGUCGAGGGUUCGAGUGAACCACCAGGCUGUUCUGAGACGGGCCCAGCAGAUCCAGGGACGCAAACAAGGGAAGAACCAGUGGCAAGCUGCCUGGCUCCUCAGAGCGGUGACUUGCAUUGACCUGACCACCCUUGCUGGCGACGACACACCCUCCAAUGUGCACCGCCUGUGUAUGAAAGCAAUGCAGCCCAUUCGCCAUGACUUGCUGGAGAGUAUGGACAUGCAGGACAAAGGCAUCACCACAGCUGCUGUGUGUGUCUACCCUGCUCGGGUAACCGAUGCUGUGAAGUCACUCAAAUUGGCUAAUUUCAGCCUCCCAGUUGCCUCAGUGGCCACUGGGUUCCCUGCUGGCCAGACGGCUAUGAAGACACGACUGGAGGAGGUGCGCAUGGCUGUGGAGGACGGGGCUACGGAGGUCGACAUCGUCAUCAACCGCAUGCUGGCUCUUACUGGCCAAUGGGAAGCGCUGUACCAGGAGAUCCGUCAGUUCAGAGAGGCCUGCGGGGAGGCACACAUGAAGACCAUAAUGGCAGUGGGUGAACUCGGCAACUUCACAAACGUAUACAAAGCAAGUCUGGUGGCAAUGAUGGCUGGUUCUGACUUCAUAAAGACUUCUACUGGGAAGGAGUCUGUCAAUGCCACCUUCCCUGUUGCCAUAGUGAUGGUGAGGGCCAUCCGCAACUUUUUUCUACGGACAGGCCAUAAGGUGUGUAGGUGGGUUUCAAACCGGCUGGAGGGAUCCGUACAGCCAAGGACUCACUGGUAUGGUUGACCCUGAUGAAGGAAGAGUUGGGCGACGAGUGGCUGAAUCCCAGCCUGUUCCGCCUCGGGGCUAGUACCCUGCUGGCCGACAUCGAAAGGCAGAUUUACCACUACGUGACCGGGCGCUACGCUGCCUAUCAUGAGCUGCCCCUUGCCUGAAACCACGGAGAACGAAUCGAUUCGACCAAUCAGCCUUGACCUCAUUUUUACCUGCUGUUCACAGCCUAUGAAACAUUACACAGACCUACAGGGGACCUGGUUGUUUGUACUGGAACUGGUUUCUUUAGGGACAUGAUUUUAACACAACUUGAUUUUGGUGAUGAAGAAAACUGAUAUGAAGCACCUUAAAAGCAGUACUGAGUUAGUGGCUAAGCAGUUCACUGCGUAAAGAACCUAUUGUGUCGCUCAGAGUUAGAGUCUGUACAUUAAAAAUCUUGUGUGGUAUUUUAAAGGGUUGAAAAAAACGGAGUGCUUAUUCCUCUUUACUGUAAAUCAUUCUGACUGUUUCAAGACUUGUCAUUAAACAUUUUAUAAUCUUAAGUUACAAGAUUAAUCGUCUACCAAAAUGGAAUUCUUGCA